AGUUCGAUUCUGGUCAGGAUUGAACGCUGGCGGGAUGCUUUACACAUGCAAGUCGAACGGCAGCACGGACUUCGGUCUGGUGGCGAGUGGCGAACGGGUGAGUAAUGUAUCGGAACGUGCCUAGUAGCGGGGGAGCAAUCACGCGAAAGCGUAGCUAAUAAUGCGCAUACGCCCUUCGGGGGGAAAGCGGGGGACCUUCGGGCCUCGCACUAUUAGAGCGGCCGGAUAUCGGAUUAGCUAGUUGGUGGGGUAACGGCUCACCAAGGCGACGAUCCGUAGCUGGUUUGAGAGGACGACCAGCCACACUGGGACUGAGACACGGCCCGUGACUCCUACGGGAGGCAGCAGUGGGGAAUUUUGGACAAUGGGGAAAACCUCUUGAUCCAGCCAUCCUGCGUGUGCGAUGAAGGCCUUCGGGUUGUAAAGCACUUUUGGCAGGAAGAAACGGCACGGGAUAAUACCCCGUGCAACUGACGGUACCUGCAGAAUAAGCACCGGCUAACCACGUGCCAGCAGCCGCGGUAAUACGUAGGGUGCAAGCGUUAAUCGGAAUUACUGGGCGAAGCGUGCGCGUGCGCGGUUCGGAAAGAAAGAUGUGAAAUCCCAGAGCUUAACUUUGGAACUGCAUUUCUAACUACCGAGCUAGAGUGUGUCAGAGGAGAGGUGGAAUUCCGCGUAGCAGUGAAAUGCGUAGAUAUGCGGAGGAACACCGAUGGCGAAGGCAGCCUCCUGGGAUAACACUGACGCUCAUGCACGAAAGCGUGGGAGCAAACAGGAUUAGAUACCCUGGUAGUCCACGCCCUAAACGAUGUCAACUAGCUGUUGGGGCUUUCUGCCUUGGUAGCGCAGCUAACGCGAAGUUGACCGCCUGGGGAGUACGGUCGCAAGAUUAAAACUCAAAGGAAUUCCGACGGGGACCCGCACAAGCGGUGGAUGAUGUGGAUUAAUUCGAUGCAACGCGAAAAACCUACCUACCCUUGACAUGUCUGGAAUCCCGAAGAGACGGGAGUGCUCGCAAGAGAACCGGAACACAGGUGCUGCAUGGCUGUCGUCAGCUCGUGUCGUGAGAUGUUGGGUUAAGUCCCGCAACGAGCGCAACCCUUGUCAUUAGUUGCUACGAAAGGGCACUCUAAUGAGACUGCCGGUGACAAACCGGAGGAAGGUGGGGAUGACGUCAAGUCCUCAUGGCCCUUAUGGGUAGGGCUUCACACGUCAUACAAUGGUCGGGACAGAGGGUCGCCAACCCGCGAGGGGGAGCCAAUCCCAGAAACCCGAUCAGUCCGGAUCGCAGUCUGCAACUCGACUGCGUGAAGUCGGAAUCGCUAGUAAUCGCGGAUCAGCAUGUCGCGGUGAAUACGUUCCCCGGGUCUUGUACACACACCUCGCCCGUCACACCAUGGGAGUGGGUUUUACCAGAAGUAGUUAGCCUAACCGUAAGGAGGGCGAUUACCACGGUAGGAUUCAUGACUGGGGUGAAGUCGUAUCAAGGUAG
rnacentral:rRNA from 1 species